ACGCCGCGUGAGGGAUGACGGCCUUCGGGUUGUAAACCUCUUUCAGCACAGACGAAGCGCAAGUGACGGUAUGUGCAGAAGAAGGACCGGCCAACUACGUGCCAGCAGCCGCGGUAAUACGUAGGGUCCGAGCGUUGUCCGGAAUUAUUGGGCGUAAAGGGCUCGUAGGCGGUCUGUCGCGUCGGGAGUGAAAACCAGGUGCUUAACACCUGGCCUGCUUUCGAUACGGGCAGACUAGAGGUACUCAGGGGAGAAUGGAAUUCCUGGUGUAGCGGUGAAAUGCGCAGAUAUCAGGAGGAACACCGGUGGCGAAGGCGGUUCUCUGGGAGUAUCCUGACGCUGAGGAGCGAAAGUGUGGGGAGCGAACAGGAUUAGAUACCCUGGUAGUCCACACCGUAAACGUUGGGCGCUAGGUGUGGGAUCCAUUCCACGGGUUCCGUGCCGCAGCUAACGCAUUAAGCGCCCCGCCUGGGGAGUACGGCCGCAAGGCUAAAACUCA
rnacentral:rRNA from 1 species